rnacentral:rRNA from 1 species
UAAUACGUAGGGGGCAAGCGUUAUCCGGAUUUACUGGGUGUAAAGGGAGCGUAGGUGGCAAGAUAAGUCAGAUGUGAAAACCCAGGGCUCAACCCUGGGACUGCAUUUGAAACUAUCUCGCUAGAGUGCAGGAGAGGUAAGUGGAAUUCCUAGUGUAGCGGUGAAAUGCGUAGAUAUUAGGAGGAACACCAGUGGCGAAGGCGGCUUACUGGACUGUAACUGACACUGAGGCUCGAAAGCGUGGGGAGCAAACAGG